GUAGGGAAUAUUGCACAAUGGAGGAAACUCUGAUGCAGCGACGCCGCGUGAGUGAUGAAGGCCUUCGGGUCGUAAAACUCUGUGAUAAGGGAAGAUGAUGACGGUACCUUAUCAGAAAAGACCGGCUAACUUCGUGCCAGCAGCCGCGGUAAUACGAGGGGUCUAAGCGUUGUUCGGAAUCACUGGGCGUAAAGCGGGUGUAGGUGGCUAUGCAAGUUGGAUGUGAAAGCCCCGGGCUCAACCCGGGAAGUGCAUCCAAAACUACGUAGCUUGAGUGCGGGAGAGAAAGGCAGAAUUCCUGGUGUAGUGGUGAAAUACGUAGAUAUCAGGAGGAACUCCGGUGGCGAAGGCGGCCUUUUGGCCCAGCACUGACACUCAGACCCGAAAGCGUGGGUAGCAAACAGGAUUAGAUACCCGGGUAGUCC
rnacentral:rRNA from 1 species